UUUAAUCAUGAUCUUCUCAUCAGCUCUGCUUCUGCUGGCAGCAGCUGCAUCCUGUGGUGUUUUCUGUGUUGAGCUCACUCAACCUUCAUCUAUGGUUGUGAAACCUCAAGAAUCAUUCUCCAUCUCCUGCAGGAUUUCAGAAUCAAGCUAUUGCAUUAAUUGGAUCCGUCAAUCCACUGGAAAAGCACUGGAAUGGCAUGGAUAUCUUUGUAAUGGUGGUAGCACUGAAACUACAGACUCAGUCAAAAACAAGAUCAGUUUCACCCAGGACACGUCCAAAAACACAGUGUUUCUACAGGGGAAGAAUUUUGAGACUGAGGACUCAGCCGUGUAUUACUGUGCAAGAUACACACAGUGACUAAA